AUUGAACGCUGGCGGCAGGCCUAACACAUGCAAGUCGAGCGAGCGGCGGACGGGUGAGUAAUGUCUGGGAAACUGCCUGAUGGAAGGGGAUAACUACUGGAAACGGUAGCUAAUACCGCAUACCAUCAGAUGUGCCCAGAUGGGAUUAGCUAGUAGGUGUGGUAAUGGCUCACCUAGGCUACGAUCCCUAGCUGGUCUGAGAGGAUGACCAGCCACACGGGAACUGAGACACGGUCCAGAAUCCUACGGGAGGCAGCAGUGGGGAAUAUUGCACAAUGGGCGAAAGCCUGAUGCAGCCAUGACGCGUGAAUGAAGAAGGCCUUCGGAUUGUAAAACACUGUCAGCGGGGAGGCGUUACCCGCACAGAAAGCACCGGCUAACUCCGUGCCAGCAGCCGCGGUAAUUC
rnacentral:rRNA from 1 species